AUGAACCUGCUGAUGAUUUUCCUCUUUUUGCUUGGGGCCCCUUCAGGUGUCCUCUCCCAAGUGCAGCUGAAGGAAACGGGCCCGGGAGCGGCGAAGCCCGGGGAGUCCUUGACAGUCACUUGCACCAUCUCCGGAAAUUCGGUUUCCAGCACCAGCGCCACCUGGGACUGGGUCCGGCAGCCCGCGGGCAAACGGCCGGAGUGGCUGGGCUGCACGUGGUACCGGUCUGGCACGUGGUACACUGAGUAUCCCAGCGCGCUGCAGGGCCGAGUGACCAUCUCACCGGACACCGCCAGGAACCAGGUCUUGCUGCAGCUCCGCUCGCUGACAGCUGCGGACACCGCCACCUAUUACUGCUCCGGGAGACACAGUGACACAGCGCAACUCCGGGACCGAUAG